GGAGAGUUGUCCGAGUGGUCGAAGGUGCGAAACUCGAAAUUUCGUGUCGGUGAUGAGCCGACCUAGGGUUCAAAUCCCUAACUCUCCGCCA
rnacentral:tRNA from 1 species